GCGGGCGUGGCGAAAUUGGCAUACGCACCGGCUUUAGGUGCCGGCGCUCGAGAGAGCGUGAGGGUUCGAGUCCCUCCGCCCGCACCG
rnacentral:tRNA from 3 species